CACGUGGGUGAUCUGCCCUGCACUUUGGGAUAAGCCUGGGAAACUGGGUCUAAUACCGGAUAGGACUACGCGAUGCAUGUCGUGUGGUGGAAAGCUUUUGCGGUGUGGGAUGGGCCCGCGGCCUAUCAGCUUGUUGGUGGGGUGAUGGCCUACCAAGGCGACGACGGGUAGCCGGCCUGAGAGGGUGUCCGGCCACACUGGGACUGAGAUACGGCCCAGACUCCUACGGGAGGCAGCAGUGGGGAAUAUUGCACAAUGGGCGCAAGCCUGAUGCAGCGACGCCGCGUGAGGGAUGACGGCCUUCGGGUUGUAAACCUCUUUCACUAGGGACGAAGCGCAAGUGACGGUACCUACAGAAGAAGCACCGGCCAACUACGUGCCAGCAGCCGCGGUAAUACGUAGGGUGCGAGCGUUGUCCGGAAUUACUGGGCGUAAAGAGCUCGUAGGUGGUUUGUCG
rnacentral:rRNA from 1 species